GGGGCCUUAGCUCAGCUGGGAGAGCGCGUCGUUCGCAAUGACGAGGUCAGGGGUUCGAUCCCCCUAGGCUCCA
rfam:Sphingobium sp. TCM1 TCM1_contig_4, whole genome shotgun sequence.